rnacentral:rRNA from 1 species
UACAGAGGGUGCAAGCGUUUGUUCGGAAUUAUUGGGCGUAAAGGGAGUGUAGGCGGUUCGUUAAGUCUUCUGUGAAAUCUACGGGCUUAGCCUGUAACGUGCAGAGGAAACUAGCGGGCUUGAGUGUCGGAGAGGAUAGGGGAAUACCCAGUGUAGAGGUGAAAUUCGUAGAGAUUGGGUGGAACACCAGUGGCGAAGGCGCCUAUCUGGCUGACAACUGACGCUGAGACUCGAAAGCAUGGGGAGCAAACGGG